GGUAGCGUGGGAUUAGGCGAUGCAAGUCGAACGGGAUCGUCCGGGUAGCAAGUAUCGGGCGUGAGAGUGGCGGACUGGGGAGGAGCACGUGAGCAACCUGCCCUGGAGAUGGGGAAAACCGUUGGAAACGACGGCUAAUACCGAAUGUGGCGCCGGACGGCAUCGUCCGGCCGCUGAAGGGGGCCGCAAGGCUCCCGCUCCGGGAUGGGCUCGCGCACCAUCAGCUUGUUGGCGGGGUAACGGCCACCAAGGCUUACGGUUAGCUGGUCUGAGAGGAUGGCCAGCCCCACUGGGACUGAGACACUGCCCAGACUCCUACGGGAGGCUGCAGUCGAGGAUCAUUUGCAAUGGGCGAAAGCCUGACAAUGCGACGCUGCGUGGAAGGAUGAAGGCCCUCGGGUCGUAAACUCCUGUCAUGGGGGAACAGGCGAGGGGCGCCAAUACCGCCCUUAGUUGAGUGUACCCCAAGAGGAAUUGGCGGCUAACUCUGUGCCAGCCGCGGC
rnacentral:rRNA from 1 species